rnacentral:rRNA from 1 species
GAGAGGAAGGUCCCCCACAUUGGAACUGAGACACGGUCCAAACUCCUACGGGAGGCAGCAGUGAGGAAUAUUGGUCAAUGGGCGAGAGCCUGAACCAGCCAAGUAGCGUGAAGGAUGACUGCCCUAUGGGUUGUAAACUUCUUUUAUAAAGGAAUAAAGUCGGGUAUGGAUACCCGUUUGCAUGUACUUUAUGAAUAAGGAUCGGCUAACUCCGUGCCAGCAGCCGCGGUAAUACGGAGGAUCCGAGCGUUAUCCGGAUUUAUUGGGUUUAAAGGGAGCGUAGAUGGAUGUUUAAGUCAGUUGUGAAAGUUUGCGGCUCAACCGUAAAACUGCAGUUGAUACUGGAUAUCUUGAGUGCAGUUGAGGCAGGCGGAAUUCGUGGUGUAGCGGUGAAAUGCUUAGAUAUCACGAAGAACUCCGAUUGCGAAGGCAGCCUGCUAAGCUGCAACUGACAUUGAGGCUCGAAAGUGUGGGUAUCAAACAGGAUUAGAUACCCUGGUAGUCCACACGGUAAACGAUGAAUACUCGCUGUUUGCGAUAUACUGCAAGCGGCCAAGCGAAAGCGUUAAGUAUUCCACCUGGGGAGUA